CUUGGUCCCCAGUCAGCUCCUCUGGAAACACCAGGUUAUUCAUGGGAGAGAUGGAAGCCCGAACAAACGGCAGGGCUCUUUGUGCUCCUGAUCUGAGCGUGGGAAGGAAAUUCCAGGCCACCCAGAUCAUUAUGUUACCUGUCUUAACGAGUUCUGAGCAUCCCACCAAUUGUCAUUUUCAGCACCAGGAUGGAUGUUUUCAUUAUUGAAGCAUUGCGAUGCUCCUGAAACUGCCAAGUCUUACACAGGGCCAGCUCAAAGUUCCUCUGCGCACCUGCAGGGAUUUUUCAGGUGUUUUCAGGCCGAUGACCUCCAUAGCGGCCACUGCUUCCCUUCCCCCAGGUCUCUGUCGAUCAGUCUGUCCCAGGAACCCUGGAAGGCAGCACUGCUAUCAGCACCGCCCAGCCUGUAGACCGUAGCAGUGUUCAAGCCAGCUCUCUCCACGGAGGGGACCAGAUCUCGGCCACCUCUGGUCCUGUGGAAAACAGCUCCCAGCCACCCUCCGCCAGUUCCCUGACAUCUUCAUCUACUUUGUUGGAAAUCCUUGAAGCACUGAAGCAUCCCACCACAGGGAUCCAGCUGCUGUCUGAACAGAAGGGCCUCUCCCCGUCCUGCUUCAUCAGCGCAGAAGUCGUGCACUGGCUGGUGAACAUGGUGGAAGGGGUGCAGACGCAGGCCAUGGCCGUCGACAUCAUGCAG